ACUCAGGCACGAUCCCUUGAGAAAAGGGAACCGACCUGAAGUUCAAUCCUGAGGGA
rfam:Corynebacterium imitans strain DSM 44264, complete genome.